rnacentral:rRNA from 1 species
UACAGAGGUCUCAAGCGUUGUUCGGAUUCAUUGGGCGUAAAGGGUGCGUAGGUGGCGCGCUAAGUCAGGUGUGAAAUUUCGGAGCUUAACUCCGAAACUGCAUUUGAUACUGGCGUGCUUGAGGACUGGAGAGGAGACUGGAAUUCACGGUGUAGCGGUGAAAUGCGCAGAUAUCAGGAGGAACACCAAUUGCGAAGGCAGCUCGCUGGGACGUAACUGACGCUGAGACGCGAAAGCGUGGGGAGCAAACAGG